GGACAAUAAAGGAUCAAUCGUUAUAUAUAUAUAUGUGUGUGCGUGUGUUUCUUAAUUUUAUGUAUAUGAAAUCUUCCGUAAAACAUUCCGUUUGAAGCUAAGAAGAAAAAGGCAUAGAACUGUAACUUUAAUUGUGUAUACAUUACCUGCAAAGGCAUAAAAUGCCUCUUUAAUUGCCUGCACUCGCAGGUGUCUGGGAAAAACAAUGACAACCUGAACGAAAUAUUUCAGGCCCAAACAGAUUUUCCUCAUUGCCUGGCAAACUGUACUCUUUGAUAUAUUUUCCGCAUCGCCUACAGUAUACAAAAAAGUGCUGCUUGCAAAAUAUCUCAAGGUAAUGAACAUUGUCUGUGUGGCUGUGAGAGCCCGACUUUGCCUAGUUGGACUUCUACUAUACGGAGCUAAUAAAUCUAAGAUAUAAUAUUCCAUCUCCGUUCACUGUAUUUAAGUGCCAGCCUUUGUCCUGCUGUUCAGUAAGUCAAUUUAUUAGGCACCUGUGCUCUACUAUGUUACUGCGUGUAGUUGCUUUGAUUUGUCUUUCUAGUUCUGUUUUCUGUGUUGCCUUGUUUGUCCUAGUUUGUUUAUUUAUAGCUUCUUUAGUUAUUUUUUCUAUUGAGCUCUGACCCCCUGUGGUCCCUUUAUUUUGUGGUUUCCCAGUGUGCCCUGUUUUUGUUUAAUAACCCCCUUCUCUGUUUCAGAGCCACCAGUGGAUCAUCAUCUUUAUUUCCUGCUUUCACUAUGCCCUGCUGUGACAUGGUUCAGAUGAGGACUCUGGGCUAACCAUAUCAUCUUCUUAAUGUUCUCAGCUUUGAGGAAUUGCCUCACCCAUUUUGCAGUAAGUGGCUAAGAGGGUCAUCCCAUUAGCCUUCUUCUGAAUAACCUGUCGUCAAAGGGUUUCAGGCACCUUGGAGAGGUCCACCAUCAUGCAAAAUGCUUACAAGUGUUGCC